UUUGCCUUCACUAGCAUUCUUUGGACUGGACUAGACUAAAUAAUAGUCCAGUCUGAUGUUUGUUAUUUACACGGACAAACGUUAAUGAGACUAAAGGGGACUCGCCCCGACUGAACGCCUCGCUAGCCGUUCUUAGCGAGAGCCCUCGAUUUCGAGCAGACUCCUAGUCCCGUCCUCCCUCGCAGCUGAUCCAUCCGUCUUCUUCUCCUUCGCACCUUUGCCAUCUCCCAUCUCUUUCACGACUUCGCCGUCUCAUCCGAGUUCGAGCAGGACGAGGAGGUUCUCAGCGACGACGGAGAGGCCUCUUUUGACCUCAAACUCUUCGUGGGUAACCUUCCCUUCAGCGUCGAUAGCGCUCAGCUUGCUAGUAUCUUUGAGAGCGUUGGAAAUGUCCAGAUGGUCAAGGUGAUAUAUGAUAAGACGACCGCAAGAAGUAGAGGAUUUGGGUUUGUGGCUAUGUCAAGUGUUCAAGAAGUUGAAUCUGCUGCUCGCCAGCUAAACGACUACGUAAGUCUGACCAUUUGCUGAUAUUUUCUUAUAUAUGCGAAAGUUUGUGAUUUGCGAAUUGGUACUUUAUUUGUAAUCGUAUUUAUACGAACGGGAAUCUAUUUUGAGAGAAAAUGGAAAUUUUGUGACAUUUUCUGCCCUGCAACUUCCAUGGCUGCGUGAGCUUAAGUAGGAAUUAAGUAGGAAUAGAGAACACAGUAAGAAGUCAAGUGGUAACUUGAUUCCUGGAAAGCAAUAUGUCAGUGUAAGAACACAGGCUCUAGUGACCAUUCUAUCCUAGUUGGCGAGAAAUGGUUUUGCUCCUACCGACAAUGUGGUCGUGUCUCUGGCAAAAUCAAUAAUUGAACCACAUGUUACCAAAGAGGAAGACAUAGUGGGUUGCUCAUUUCUGUUGAAUAUGUUGGAUGCUGUGAGUGGGGUUGAAGUGAUAGAGGAGCAGCUUAGAACAAGGAAGGAUUACCAAGAAGUUUCUAGCAUCAUGAAUGUGGGGAUGACAUAUAGCUUGUUGUAUAGUUCAGCAUUUGAGUGUGAAGAUCCUACGCAAAGGAGGGAGCUGCUACUAAGGAAGUUCAAAGAAAAACACACAGGUGAAAUAGGCAAAUUUGACAAGGUGCAGUCUACCUUUUGGAGGGAAUGGAAAUUAAAAUUAGAAGACCAAAAGCGUUUGCAGAUCGUUGUACAGCAUUAGAGAAAAUAAUCCCUGGUGUUGACACAGUACGCUUUUAGUCUUAGGACUUUGAUUAUAUUAAGAGUGUUGUGCGUCCCUUGAUUGAUUCAGUCAAGUUAGAGAAUAAGCACAUUUUGAAGGAUGUUUUAACAUUAGCUGAUGAAUACAACUUGAACCGUUCACAGGUAGGCAGCUUUGUAGGCUUACAUCUCUGAAUUCUAUAACAUAGAGAUGGCUUUUUCCCCCAUUGAGUGAUAGUGAUCUAUUGUUUCCUUGCAGAUCUUUUUGUGUUAUUUGAGUUCUGUCCUUGUUUCUGAGG